rnacentral:rRNA from 1 species
UACGUAGGGCGCAAGCGUUGUCCGGAAUUAUUGGGCGUAAAGAGCUCGUAGGCGGCCAGUUGCGUCUGCUGUGAAAUCCCGGGGCUCAACCCCGGGCGUGCAGUGGAUACGGGCUGGCUAGAGGCAGGCAGGGGAGAACGGAAUUCCCGGUGUAGCGGUGAAAUGCGCAGAUAUCGGGAGGAACACCGGUGGCGAAGGCGGCUCGCUGGGCUCAACCUGACGCUGAGGCGCGAAAGCGUGGGUAGCAAACAGG